UCCGGAUCUCCAUAAAUACAAAGCUGAAAGCUUCGCCGCCUAACAAAAGAAAAAGGUAAUCCGGAUCUCCAUAACUUCGCCGCCUAACAAAAGAAAAAAAAGCUCAGUGUUGGGUUCAACCUUUUUUUAGAAAAGAAAGCUCAGUGAGGAAGAAUGAGGGGAGAGGAAGCUUGGGAAUUUCUUAAGGGUGGUUACCUCUUCCUUUUGCCCAAUGAUUUCUCCAUCAACAAAUCGAUAACAACCCUUCAAAUGUAUAUAUAUAUGUAUGUAUAAUCUCUCUCAAACAAGGGCUAAAAGAGUAGAGAUGGGAAAAUUGCACUGCGGUACCAAACCUAUUGAUAUCUCUGUCAAUCUCCACUGCAAUAUUUGGAGUAACUGUUGGCAAAUAAAGAGGCUGUGAUGAUUUUUCUUUAAGUCUUCUGAGCUAAUGAAUCGGGGAAAGAGAUAAACUGACCCGUAUCUUGGCGAGGCAAUCCGGACGGCGUGUGAUUUGAGGUUUUUUAUACUCUCUCUCUUGCGCACGCAACUGAUGAUUUGCAGCCAUGGCGGGUACGCCUUUCUCUUUGUCCGAUCAAAAUACAGAUCUGAGCCACAAGAUAUUCUUUUUUAGGGAUUCAGAUUUCGAUGGGUAGCUGUAGUGAAAUUGGUUUCACAAGUUCCUUUUUCCCAUUUAUUUAAACAAAGUAUCUAUUUCUGGGAAAUGGAUGGUAAUUAAUUUAUUUUUUCUUUUUUUCUUUAUUAUUAUUAUUAUUAUUUUAUUAUUAUUAUUAUUAUUUUUUACUUUGAUAUCGGCAUAUUUAUUUUUUCAUUUUUAAGUAUUUUAUUGGGUAGCUGUAAUUUUUUUUGUGUGAUUUUCCAAUUUAAUUUAAUGAAACAGCUUUUGUUUACUUCUGGAAAAUAGUGGAGGAUUUAUUUAUUUUUAUUGUUUAGCGGUGUUGAAUUGGACAAAUGUGCCAGUUUGAUGAUACUGUAAAUUUGCUAGAAAGUGCAAAACUUUUAAAUGUGAAUAAUAAAAUUAAUAUCAUACAUGUCUCGAGUGUAAUGGGGUGCAAGUGGUUCGGUUAAUCGAUUUUUAAACAAAAUCGUUUAAAAUAAUUUGGGAAAAUUUAGAUUUAGUCAAAUUAUUUAAAAUGUUUAAGAUUUUUUCAAACCUUAAUUUAAAAGUGUGGUUCGGCUUUCAAUGGCGAUUUAUACGCUUUAG
rnacentral:lncRNA from 1 species